rnacentral:ncRNA from 1 species
CUGGUAGUGAUAUUAGACUGGAACGUGAGAAGUCAGCCGAGGUCAUAGUAGUGAAGACGCUCAAUGAAAGUUGAGACGAGCGAAGGAC